rnacentral:sRNA from 1 species
ACCUACUUCCAAGCAAAAUAACGGUAGUAAGAAUCUACCAACACCUCUGCAUCCGCUCUUGGGGGUAAUCUCUCAAACAAUGCUUCCAGCGUCGAUAUUUCUCCAGAUUCAUUAAACGGAAAGGAGUAAACUGGGUCUUCGUAUGCUCCUCCACUUUCUCUUCCAUGAUAAACACCUUCCUCUCCUGCCUUUUCCCCUCUUCCUCCUGCAGGACCUCGAUUCCCAGGACUGGUGGUAUCCACAGGUGAACGAGAGUGUGAAGGCGUCUCCAUACCGAUCCCACCGACUUCUUGGUUUUUGAGCCAUUCAGUGCCGGCCGUGGGGCCCAAGUACCGAGAACGACCGGAUUUACCGAGGACGAGGGUGCCGUGGGAGUGUUCGACAGGAGAUCCGGCAGGGAUGGUUGUGCCGGCGGAGGUGGAAGUGCUGAACGAGGAGAUGGGGGGAAGAUGGAGUUGCGAAGGAUGAGAAUGCAGAUGGGAUUGGGAUGGGGUUUGAUGAAGGGCCUGGGCUUGGGUUUGGGUUUGCGGAGGGAUAGAAGGGUUACUAUUAUGGCUAUGGCUCGAUGAAGAUAGCGGGGGGUUGUAGGAAAAUGGGUUGUCACGAGGCGGAGCAGGCGAAUCGUACAGAUACCGAGGAGGCUGCUGGUGCUCACCUAUCGAAUGAGAUCGGCGGGCCGGCGACCUGCUUCGCCGAUGAUUAGACUGGGUAGAUUGAAAAGGGGAUGUUGGUGAAUCUCUGUUUGGUCGCCAGUCCUCGCUGCCGCCAACAUUCCCUCCUCCUCCUAUCAUGGAACCACGGCGCAUGGUGGGAGGGUUGGAAUCCAUCCUUGAUCUGGAAGAUGAAGAUAAUCGGGGGUAGACUGCACUGUUAUCGUCGUCGACUUCGAAACCAUGUUCUGUGAGGAAACCUUCAAGGGUGGAUAACCGUUUUUGAAGUGCCUCAGCAGUUUUGGCGUCAAGUCCACUAUAUACAUUUCUUUUACGCCAUCUGGACAAAGCUCUCUACAUCCUCUGCGGACGCAGUUUGAGCACGGUAUAUCUCUAUCACACUUUAGUUUUAACCUCCUGCACUCUACACAGAAUCCCAUCAGUAUGGAUUGGCAUGCGGAAGGAUUGAAGGGGAGGAACUUGCCGGCGCAACUGAGCUGUUGUUUGGACCUCUUCUUUGAUUGUUGGUCGGCGGGUUGUGGAUCGGUGGAAGGCGGUUGUGACUGAGAAUGUGGAAGGCCGGCUUCGGAAUUGUCCGAUGAGGCCAUUAUAGGAGACCUGGCGGGGUGAAAAAAGGAAAGUGCAGCGUGUAGGGAGAUAUAUCGAAGAGACGAAAAGACAACAAGCAGCCCGAAAGCGGAGAAGGCGGCGGCGGGGUGCAGCGAAUGGGCUAUGGACAAAUUGCGGUAUUACAAAAUAGAUAAGUAGAGAUUACAAUACUUUUACAAAUUGAUUAUAACUGAGCCGCAAUCCAGUAAAUGAAAAGUUUACGGGUGUUCCGGUCCGGAGAUUAUUACAAGUGUAA